rnacentral:rRNA from 1 species
GACGAACGCUGUCGGCGUGCUUAACACAUGCAAGUCGAACGGAAAGGCCCUGCUUUUGUGGGGUGCUCGAGUGGCGAACGGGUGAGUAACACGUGAGUAACCUGCCAUUGACUUUGGGAUAACUUCAGGAAACUGGGGCUAAUACCGGAUAGGAGCUCCUGCUGCAUGGUGGGGGUUGGAAAGUUUCGGCGGUUGGGGAUGGACUCGCGGCUUAUCAGCUUGUUGGUGGGGUAGUGGCUUACCAAGGCUUUGACGGGUAGCCGGCCUGAGAGGGUGACCGGCCACAUUGGGACUGAGAUACGACCCAGACCCCUCCGGGAGGCAGCAGUGGGGAAUAUUGCACAAUGGGCGGAAGCCUGAUGCAGCAACGCCGCGUGCGGGAUGACGGCCUUCGGGUUGUAAACCGCUUUCGCCUGUGACGAAGCGUGAGUGACGGUAAUGGGUAAAGAAGCACCGGCUAACUACGUG